GGCGCCCUGCCCUGUCCAACCUCGCGCUGGCCGACGCGAUUUGACCUGCGCACUGCACGCCGCCAUGGGUUGUUUUCGAGUCGCAAGUGAAUGCUUUCUGCAGUUUGACGAUACCUCUACUACGGCCGUAUCAGUGGCAGCAUCAAAUACAGGUUUUGCGAAUUGACAUACUGGAUUUUUUUGGAUGCACCUGUUCCAUACAUUUGUGAGUUUCCGAGAUUUGAAAUUAUUUUGUUUCAGAUAAAUUAGAGAGGACAAUGCAGAAAUUGUAGUCAUCUAUUUUUAGCCUGCAUACUUAGAAGGGAAUCAGGCCAUGUCCCUUUAAAUAGGCAAUGAAAUUGGACUAAGGUCCCUGCCUAUCUAAAGUGACGGGAUCCAGUUCAUGUCUAUCCACUAUCCAUGCAUGACUUUCUGGAGAUAAAUCAACUCAUUGUGGAUGUAGAUUAAGUCUGCUCCAUUCCCGCAAAUUCCGCAACUGUGAGAAUUCCUUUCUGCCUUGCGCCUACAUUAUUCAAGACUUGUCGGAGAAAAGUUAUCUUGCACGAAAUGCCCUAUUUAUGAAUGCAGUCUCACAGUUUUGUUAUAACUUCAACACCAAGAUUCCUUAUCUUAAUUUCUCCCAGCAGAUAACUUGUACUGUUAUGUGCUCAGAGGAGACAUCAGCAUUAGGAAUUCAGCCACGCAUCCUGUUGCCUUCACAGUUAUUGUCACUUAAGUUACAUACGUGCCGCGGCGCCUAAGGUGACUCCUGUCUAGCCAUUUUCUGUUAUUCUAGAAAAAAUAAAGAUUGACAUGGUUCCAUGUAAACAAGCACGAGUUGCUAGCAUCAGUAUCUCUCCCAAUAUUCUAAAGGUGAAUUGAUUGAGCCAUGAUGCUCGAUUACAACAGUUUAUGUUAAGCUGAAUCAGAUUCUGGAUUCCAAUUUAUACUAGCAUAAUUUUUGUUUGAGGAAAUUAGCAAGGCUAUUUUAGAGAUAAAUUUUAGCUUACUUGAAAGUCACAUGGCACAUAAAGCAUGCAAUGACAGGUUUACAUUCUCAUUCACUUUUUUUAAUUCUUUCAAGUUUAUAGUAUAACAUAUUUAUCAGAUUUUGGAAAUCACAAUACUUAUGAGAUUUCUUUACAUGGUUUUAGCCUUUUAGGUUGGUAUGAAUGGGUUGUCAUCAUGGCGCUACACAGGAAUAAGGGCGUGUUUGGUUCUGAGCCAAAGUUAGCCCCACGAAAAAUUGGUGCACCAAUGCUAUAUGCUGGUUUGGUGGUUUAGUUGGAUGCUCAAAACUUGGAUAGCCCAGCCGAGUAUGUAAGCGUGCAGUUAAAUUUUUCACUGAUCCCCAGGCGGACUGAGGGUGGACGACUGCUGCGCCAAAAAGUUGGUCAGACCAAAGAUUUGGUAUGGCUCUGUGGAUUAUACCAAAUAGGCCCUAAGAGCCAACGACGAGGUGAGGAGGCAGAGGUAUUGAGAAUGGCUACUAUGGUGGUGUGGUGCUGGUAGGAGCUUGUACUUUGUAGGAUAUCACAGAUUAAUGUUUGAACCCUACUACUAGGCAGUGCUUUCCCAUGGAUGGCACCAGUAGCGGUGGAAUGGGGGAGUUCAAUGCAUUCUAGAAGAUGUGUAGUUGCUGAAAUGAAGAUCGGUGUGGCAUCAGUUUCUUCCUAUCUUUCCCUGGAGCAAUAAUGGUUUGGGCGAAAAUAUGAUUCCUUUGUAUGAGUUGAACAGAAGCUUGCAGCAGAAAGUGUAUUGACCAUCUUGGAAGUAGAUGUCGUACACCCCCGGGAGAUUAUGGAGGCGUGCAGUUGAUCUGAGAGCUAAGUGAGUGAUCGUUGAGGAGCAAGUCAAUAAAGAAGAUUCCUCUCUAUUUUGUAGACUAUUCCAGUAAUACAUAUAUUCUAAUUAUCCAUACAUGCACCUGCUAUUAAUUUAAAUGCAUACUAUGUGAAGACUUUAUCUGAUUUCUCUCCAAUA